rnacentral:lncRNA from 1 species
AAAACAAAAAUUUAAUCAAAAUCAAAUCUCCAAUUGAGCCUAAUGGUCUUCUAGUGUUGCCAAGUGCUAAGGGUCUAGGUACGUGUCUACUCACCGUUCCCAAAACUCAUUCUCCUCUUUGCUGUUUUGAUUCUCCUUUCCUUCCUAUUCGCUAGCUGAGGAAGAUUUCAUGUCUCAUCUCUAAGGGUUUCAGAGCACUGAUCUUCCCUCCUCCCUUCCCCAUACUUCUGGGUACAUCAGACCAAACUGUCCCAAAUCUCCUCCAGAGGGAAUAUCUACUGAGAAAUCCUCAUGAGGCCUCUCUCUCGAGUUCCUUUACAGACUCCAGGAAGAACACAGAAUAUCUCAGUGUCUUCUCUGCUGGGAGCCAACUCCCUCACCCCCAGAGAGGUCUUCACCAACAGAUCAAUAAAGGAAACGCGUCAGCUGGGUGACCGUGGUUGGGAAAAAGAGGGGUGAACAAGCUCAGCACGGUCUGUGGAGGUGUCGAGCUCACUCCCCACGGCCUUCUCUGUUUCAGACUUGACAAAAUGUCUUUCUUCUCAUCAUGGAUGAAAGCUAUUUUCCUUAUUGCCUUGCUAUUUCCUCUUCACUCUGUGAAUCUGGUGGAAAAUUUGAUUUUUGUCAUUAUGGUGAAUGCUGACUCUGCCAGAGUUACACAUUCCUACGCCUUUUAUUGCAAUCCUCUUUUGCAGUGGAUUCUACAAGCAAUUAGAGUAUUCUCAACCAGAGUUUUAAAUUCCAAGAUGACUGGACAAAGCCUGCUCUAGUAUACAAGAUGGAAUAUAGGAUGUUGAAGAAUUUUUCCAAUUCUAAGAAACUGUGAUUGAAAAAUUUUUAUCCUGUUUGUUGAAUUAUGAAUGACAGUUGCAAAAUUAUCUUAAUUGUAUUUGACAAUAUAAAACCUAAUGUAAUUCACAAUCAUAAAUCUUUCAAGCAAUGAAAGUUAAAUAAUACUAUCUUUGUUAAAAUACCAUUUCUUUCGUUGGUUGGUUAGUGCAUUAAAGCAAACAAAUGCUUUUGGUAACUAUGAUUAAAGAAGCAUUUUCAAAGGUGGACACAUAGUGCAUUACCUCGAUGUUUAUUAACAGUACAGACACUUGGGCUCUUGCUUAUCCUAAAGAAUCAAAACCUCUAGGAGUGAGAUCUGGGAGCUUGAAUUUUAACAAGCACUGCGGGUUGAUCUACGAUCCCAAAUAUUAGGGAAUAUGGACUUCAAUUAUAA